rnacentral:rRNA from 1 species
ACGGAAGGCAGCAGUGGGGAAUAUUGCACAAUGGGGGAAACCCUGAUGCAGCGACGCCGCGUGAAGGAAGAAGUAUCUCGGUAUGUAAACUUCUAUCAGCAGGGAAGAUAAUGACGGUACCUGACUAAGAAGCCCCGGCUAACUACGUGCCAGCAGCCGCGGUAAUACGUAGGGGGCAAGCGUUAUCCGGAUUUACUGGGUGUAAAGGGAGCGUAGACGGCAUAGCAAGCCAGAUGUGAAAGGUGGGGGCUCAACCCCCAAGCUGCAUUUGGAACUGUUAAGCUGGAGUAUCGGAGAGGUAAGUGGAAUUCCUAGUGUAGCGGUGAAAUGCGUAGAUAUUAGGAGGAACACCAGUGGCGAAGGCGGCUUACUGGACGAUAACUGACGUUGAGGCUCGAAAGCGUGGGGAGCAAACAGGAUUAGAUACCCUGGUA